GUAAUACGGAGGGUGCAAGCGUUGUCCGGAUUUAUUGGGUUUAAAGGGUGCGUAGGUGGUCUGUUUAAGUUAGUGGUGAAAUCCUGCAGCUUAACUGUAGAAUUGCCAUUGAUACUGGUAGACUUGAGUAUGGCAGAGGCCCGCGGAAUUCAUGGUGUAGCGGUGAAAUGCAUAGAUAUNAUGAAGAAUACCAAUGGCGAAGGCAGAUUUCUGCGUCUUUACUGACACUGAGGCACGAAAGCGUGGGGAGCGAACAGGAUUAGAUACCCUGGUAGUCCACGCCGUAAACGAUGAUCACUUGGUGUUGGAUUUAUAGAGUCAGCGCCCAAGCGCAAAGCGAUAGUGAUCGCACCUGGGGAGUACGCUCGCAAGAGUGAAACUCAAAGGAAUU
rnacentral:rRNA from 1 species